UACGUAGGGGGCAAGCGUUGUCCGGAUUUAUUGGGCGUAAAGAGCGUGUAGGCGGCCAGACAGGUCCGUUGUGAAAACUCGAGGCUCAACCUCGAGACGCCGAUGGAAACCGUUUGGCUAGAGUCCGGAAGAGGAGAGUGGAAUUCCUGGUGUAGCGGUGAAAUGCGCAGAUAUCAGGAAGAACACCCGUGGCGAAGGCGGCUCUCUGGGACGGUACUGACGCUGAGACGCGAAAGCUAGGGGAGCGAACAGG
rnacentral:rRNA from 1 species